rnacentral:ncRNA from 1 species
AAGCGGGGGUGCCCAGAUCGACGGGCUGAGAUCAUACCCUUUGAACCUGAUGUAGUUAAUACUGCCGCAGGGAUCU